rnacentral:rRNA from 1 species
CAUGCAAGUCGAACGGAAAGGCCCUUCGGGGUACUCGAGUGGCGAACGGGUGAGUAACACGUGGGUGAUCUGCCCUGCACUUUGGGAUAAGCCUGGGAAACUGGGUCUAAUACCGAAUAGGACCACGCGCUUCAUGGUGUGUGGUGGAAAGCUUUUGCGGUGUGGGAUGGGCCCGCGGCCUAUCAGCUUGUUGGUGGGGUAAUGGCCUACCAAGGCGACGACGGGUAGCCGGCCUGAGAGGGUGACCGGCCACACUGGGACUGAGAUACGGCCCAGACUCCUACGGGAGGCAGCAGUGGGGAAUAUUGCACAAUGGGCGCAAGCCUGAUGCAGCGACGCCGCGUGAGGGAUGACGGCCUUCGGGUUGUAAACCUCUUUCGCCAGGGACGAAGCGCAAGUGACGAUACCUGGAGAAGAAGGACCGGCCAACUACGUGCCAGCAGCCGCGGUAAUACGUAGGGUCCGAGCGUUGUCCGGAAUUACUGGGCGUAAAGAGCUCGUAGGUGGUUUGUCGCGUUGUUCGUGAAAACUCACA